rnacentral:rRNA from 1 species
AACGAACGUUAGCGGCGCGCCUAACACAUGCAAGUCGCACGAGAAAGGGCUUCGGCCCCGGUACAGUGGCGCACGGGUGAGUAACACGUGGGUAAUCUGCCUUCGGGUGGGGGAGUAACAUUCCGAAAGGAGUGCUAAUACCGCAUAAGACCACGCCCUCCGAAAGAGGAAGCGGUCAAAGCUGGCCUCUAUACAUAAGCUAGCGCCUGAAAAUGAGCCCGCGGAGCAUCAGCUAGUUGGUGAGGUAAUGGCUCACCAAGGCAUAGACGCUUAGCUGGUCUGAGAGGAGUGAUCAGCCACACUGGGAACUGAGACACGGUCCAGACUCCUACGGGAGGCAGCAGUGGGGAAUCUUGCGCAAUGGGCGAAAGCCUGACGCAGCGACGCCGCGUGAGUGAUGAAGG